GCAACAGUGACUUUGCUUCUCAUUUUUCAGCUUUUUAUUCAGAAAAAAUGCUUCUAAUCUGAAAUUUCGUUCACUUUCGUUCAGAAUCCACUGCAUCACCUGUCUGUUCUACACCAAACAGAAAUAAAACUAGCAGCCAGUCUUUAUCUUAGAGAUCAUUACUAUUUCAUUCAUUAUGAUUUACAGCAUUAAAUUUGAGCUUUGAGUGAAAAAAUAAACAAAACCAUUGGAACCUUUUAAAAAAUAGACCAUUUUGUAAACUGUGAAUACACUGCAAUUAACACAUGAAUAAAUUAUAAAUUAAAUAUGCACAGAUACAUUAAAAUAUUAUUGUUUUUAGUAUUUACUUAGCUCCAAAUAAAUAAGUAAAUAAAACAACAAAGCAAUGCAAGUGUAAAGCAUGAACAAAAUAAAAAGCAAAAAAAAUAAAAAUCUGAUGCGUGUGAAAUUAUAACGUGUAAACUAGAACGCCGAGGUGGAGUGACGUCAAGACGCACGCGUACGUACAGCUGAGCAGAGGCACUGAGCCAAUCAGAGUUCUCCUCGCUGUGCGGUUCGACGUGGAACGUGCAACAUAGCGACGGUGUCUGGGCGCGCGCUUUGUGGAUGCGGAACCAAACGCGGCACCGGAAACUCAUCCCGGCGCUUUAUUUCCGCGAGACUGCGGUCUGAGUUAAAGACGUGGCGCGUGUUUCCUGGGUCUGAUCGUGUCCUCCUCAGCGCACCUGUAAUAUCGGACAGUUUCUCCAUUAAAGGAUAAUCUUCUCUCUCUCUCUCCAGUCGACUCGCUCGGGAGCAGCGGUGAGCUGAAAAGGUGUCAUCAGAGACAUGAAGCACGGCCCAAGAUGCUGAAAGUCAAGGCCAUAAACACAAAGCAGAUGCAUGCACAGAAGUACAGAGUUUAGGAGACGGAGAAUAGUCGAGAGUGGGAGUAGGAAUACGGGAUGAUGGAGGACUGAACUGAGAGCAGGUGAAAACAGCUGUGGACCGCCGCCGGCACUCUUCUUCCUCUCCUUCCUCUCUUCUUCCUCUCCUCAUGAGGUUUCGGCUCUGUGUCUCGGGGUCUCGGGGAGACAGCAGGGGCCGACCAGGCUUCAACGGAGUGGGCAGCAGAGGCGGGCAGUUGCACCCACCGGGCACAGGCUCCUCAGCAGAGCAAUCAAUACGAAGGGAAGAGGCUGCCAGGGGUCGGGCGACGCAGCCCCGGGCCACGGUGCCAAGGGAUCACCAGCGCUCAUCUCUCCCUUUACCAGUCAACUUGCAUCAGCCAAAGGCGGACCAUGUGUGAGAGCAAGAGUGUGUGUGGUUCUGCCGGAGGGACCUUCAGUCCCAACACCACUUGAUAAAACUUUGUCUGCAGAAGAAUGAACAAAAAAAGAGUGUCAAAGGUCUUUUUCCCUCUCCUCUAUUCCCUUUUUUCACUCUGAGUGCACAUUCCCAGUGACUGUUUGAAUAAGGGCUUGACGUACAAUCCCUCUUACAGCCCAUCCUCCAAACCUCUACAUCAGAUGAGCUGGCAAGAGAGGACAACUUGAACUUUUGUCUUUUUUGGACGACAUUUUUUUUCCCCCUCUUUUUUUUUCUGUUGUAGAUUAAAUUAGAUGAUUUUUUCAAAAUCCUCACUGCUCUUUGAGAGCUUCCAAAAGGGCUUUGGUUUUAAUCCACAUGAAGAGGCUUGGUACUCUUGUCUACAUACUUCAAUACCACUGGACCUCCACAGUGCCAGGUUUUAAUAAGAUGAUGUUCAGAAGGAAGUGCAAAAGUAGAGGAGGCUAAGCUCCAAAAACUAGCAACAAAAAUGACUUAUAAUAAACUUUCCCAGUAUUUAUCACUCAGGGUUUUCAGCCAUUCCCUGAUCCUGCGUUUAUAUUCUGAUAAGGAAAAGCUCCAUUUCCUUCCAUGAGACACAACAAACAGAGGAGUGAAGGUAGUGCCAUGUCCUCAUUGGAUUCUUUGUUUACUAGGAGAUGAUGGAGACCAUUCUUCUGGAAUGGUGUGAUAAAUGCUGUUCAGUUCCACUUCCUUGUAGCUGUAUUUCAGAUGUGAAGCUCUGAUCAUCUACAGAACCCCAAACCAUAAUAUCAGUGAUAUUUGGCUUGUGUUUCUUUUAUACUAGUGAGUAUAUCAAUAAGGUAAGUUUCUGAUCAUUAAAAUCUUUGUUUAUUGCUCUACUGUGGCCUACAAUGACAUAUAGACUUCAUUUGGCUAUGAAUGGAACAUAUGACGCAUUAUUGGGAUCUGAAGUAUUUAUACCGUUAUAUAAUAUUGUACAUAGCAGUUGUUUAGAGAUGUACAGGUAUAGAUGAUGAUAUCCUUCUCAGUGUAAUGAUUAAUGGUAUAAUCAUUCUAAAUAAUCUGUAUGGAUUCCAGGAGCUACAUGUUUAUCCUGUUUAUCUCUGUUGUAUGGUGUAUGAAUAUUGUAUUAAUAAAUGAAUGAUCCUGAUUAAUUGAACAAUAAAAGUCAAACCUGAGUUUA